rnacentral:sRNA from 1 species
UCCACGGUAUAGAUUGUGCUAAUGCGCCUUCUUUGGUCUGUAAUCAUUUGGAAAUGAAUGACUUGUUUUCCCAGCUUUAGGGAUGUAGAUGACGGUGAGAUAAGCGAUCAGAAUUUCUCAUAAGACUCAGAGUUAUUUACAGAAUUAUCUAUAUCUAAGGCUGUGGAUAGGGUCAAAUCAUCCACGGUAUAGAUUGUGGUAAUGCGUCUUCUUUGGGUUUUUAUGAGGUUUUUGAUUAACGCCUUCUACUAAAAUCUAAACUAAAUAUACUUGCUACCCUAUAGGUAGGGUUGUUCAUACGGCUCCAUUUUCGCCACCGUGAGGCUUCCUCCGCUGAAGGAAGAUUAGGUUUGGAGGGCUAUGACUGGGGGUAUGUCUACUUCAGCAUUCGUAAAGUGGUUCGGCUGCAGCCGCUUUGCAGUGAUGCAGAUUGGUCUGUUGUUUUCUUCCGGCUAGUGCAACGGCGCUAGUCGCAACAGAUCCCAUCCAGUGACGAAAUCUAAUUUACCCCCACGAGCCUGAAGAUAUUCCUGGUCCAUUCCUGACCAAGCCACUCCCCACUACGCUUGAGUUGUCCGUCUGGAGUUUGGGGUUUUGUUUACCAACCACCCACGGGGGGUGGAGGAUGACCAUAUUUUUCGGUAAGGAUUUCCUUCAGGAAAACAGACGCCAGAUCGCAACCUUGCUGGACAUGUCGUUUCGCAGCAGAUGACUUUCACGUCUUUGUAAAGGUUGGCUCUGCCGAACUGGAACUUGUCGGGAUCUCUUUUUCCCAGAAAGAUUGUCUCUCUCAGACGGUUUUCAAUGAACAUCCAUCGACUUCCUCUGAUUUUACCUUCCGACUCAGCUGCGAAGGUUGUUAUGGUAAAUGAUCUUGUCAAUUGGCUUGCAGACCGAAGGGGUUGGAACCGUAUAUUGCGGCAAGGAGGUUUCAACCGCCAAGGAUUUCAUGGCAUCGGAAUUGUGGUUCCUCAAUGAACCGCCCUCUCUUCAAAGCUGAUCGUGAAGAGUGUUUGGUUUCAGUCAGUGACAAAUAUGUAGAGAAUGUAUAUACUUGAAAUAAAGAAGUACAUUGCUUUUUGAGAUUUAACUUUUCGUCCGUAAGUUUAUUCUAUUAUUAAUUUUCGGUAAACCAUGUCGAACCAUGUCGAACUCUUACACGCCUUUCGAGCACACUUGCCCACAAAUGCGAGAAUAUUGAAAACUCA